rnacentral:rRNA from 1 species
GAUGAACGCUGGCGGCGUGCCUAAUACAUGCAAGUCGAGCGAACAGACGAGGAGCUUGCUCCUCUGACGUUAGCGGCGGACGGGUGAGUAACACGUGGAUAACCUACCUAUAAGACUGGGAUAACUUCGGGAAACCGGAGCUAAUACCGGAUAAUAUAUUGAACCGCAUGGUUCAAUAGUGAAAGACGGUUUUGCUGUCACUUAUAGAUGGAUCCGCGCCGCAUUAGCUAGUUGGUAAGGUAACGGCUUACCAAGGCAACGAUGCGUAGCCGACCUGAGAGGGUGAUCGGCCACACUGGAACUGAGACACGGUCCAGACUCCUACGGGAGGCAGCAGUAGGGAAUCUUCCGCAAUGGGCGAAAGCCUGACGGAGCAACGCCGCGUGAGUGAUGAAGGUCUUCGGAUCGUAAAACUCUGUUAUUAGGGAAGAACAAAUGUGUAAGUAACUAUGCACGUCUUGACGGUACCUAAGCAGAAAGCCACGGCUAACUACGUGC